rnacentral:lncRNA from 1 species
CACAAUGUUUGAAACCCAAUGGUUUCAUUUUGUAGUUUAGAUGAAAGAAAAAAACAUUAUUUUGGCUGAUUUUAAUUGUCAGGUGUGUAUCAUACCAUUGCAAACAUUUACUUGACAUGCAAACUUUACAUAGGUUAAAAGCUUUUUUAAUUGAAUUAUGAAAUGUAAAUCUAAUUGAAAUUUUAAUAUAAGAUAUCCUCUUCAUCAACAUGACUAAACUAUUUGCCAUUGGCCAGUGGCCAUUUUAAGCAAGCAAGCAUGCAAGCAACAAUUAAUAAUAUAUAAUCAUAUGUCUGAAUAUCCAUCCAUAUUCUGAAUAGCAAAUAGAGAAAAAAACGUUCCAUUUAUGAAAAUUUGUACAAUUUAAAAUUGAACAACUGCUUAUUUUUGUUGAAUAUUUUUAAAGUUUAAGGUCAAAGAAAGACCUUUACUGUUCAUACUCCAAACAAAUGAACACUUGUGAUAGUACUAAACUGUGAUAAAAUGCAAUCAGAAAAUGUAUAGACUUGAAGAGUAUCAUUAUGAUUUAU